UACGUAGGGGGCAAGCGGUUGUUCGGAAUUACUGGGCGUAAAGGGUGCGUAGGCGGUCGGGGUAAGUCUGACGUGAAAAUCUCCAGCUCAACUUGGAAAAUGGCGUCGGAUACUAUUCGGCUUGAGGAGUGGAGGGGAGACUGGAAAUUCUCGGUGUAGCAGUGAAAUGCGUAGAGAUCAUGAGGAAAGACCAGUGGCGAAGGCGGGGUCUCUGGACAGUUCCUGACACUGAGAACACGAAGGGCCAGGGGAGCAAAACGGG
rnacentral:rRNA from 1 species